UUCAAUAACAUUAGUAAAAUUCGAUUAAAAGCUUCAUAAAUUAAAAACAUAUAUUUUUAGCAUUAGAUCAAACUCUUGGAAUUACUAUUCAAACAUUUCCUUACACACAUCUUUAAGGGUUUAAACAUAAUUCAAACACAAUACACAUCUUAUAUAUGCAAAUAAAUAACAAACUAUAGAAAAUCAAACACUCUCCAAAUCAUAGCUCAAACUUUAUUUAAAUACCCUGCAAAUAGCACAUAACAAACCCUAUGUGAUCUUUCUGAGCUUGAUUAUAAUUAUCAUGUUCAUCAAAAGAGAUGGUGGUGCUUUUUUCCAUGAGCCUCUUCAUCUUCUUUCUUAGCUUCUUUUUUCUCAUGGUGUUCAUG
rnacentral:lncRNA from 1 species